rnacentral:rRNA from 1 species
GACGAACGCUGGCGGCGUGCUUAACACAUGCAAGUCGAACGGAAAGGCCCUGCUUUUGUGGGGUGCUCGAGUGGCGAACGGGUGAGUAACACGUGAGUAACCUGCCCUUGACUUUGGGAUAACUUCAGGAAACUGGGGCUAAUACCGGAUAGGAGCUCCUGCUGCAUGGUGGGGGUUGGAAAGAUUCGGCGGUUGGGGAUGGACUCGCGGCUUAUCAGCUUGUUGGUGGGGUAGUGGCUUACCAAGGCUUUGACGGGUAGCCGGCCUGAGAGGGUGACCGGCCACAUUGGGACUGAGAUACGGCCCAGACUCCUACGGGAGGCAGCAGUGGGGAAUAUUGCACAAUGGGCGGAAGCCUGAUGCAGCAACGCCGCGUGCGGGAUGACGGCCUUCGGGUGGUAAACCGCUUUCGCCUGUGACGAAGCGUGAGUGACGGUAAUGGGUAAAGAAGCACCGGCUAACUACGUG